AGGGCUUCACACGUCAUACAAUGGUGCAUACAGAGGGUUGCCAAGCCGCGAGGUGGAGCUAAUCCCAGAAAAUGCAUCGUAGUCCGGAUCGUAGUCUGCAACUCGACUACGUGAAGCUGGAAUCGCUAGUAAUCGCGGAUCAGCAUGCCGCGGUGAAUACGUUCCCGGGUCUUGUACACACCGCCCGUCACACCAUGGGAGUGGGCUUUACCAGAAGUAGUUAGCCUAACCGCAAGGAGGGCGAUUAGCACGG
rnacentral:rRNA from 1 species